AGGGGAAGGAAUUAUAGGAGAAGGAAACAGACCCCAGGAGACAGGAAAGAGUUGGAAAGUUUUGUUUAGUGGGUGCAACAUCUGUGGUCAUAUGCCGGAGAGAGACAGAAGGGGAAGGAAUUAUAGGAGAAGGGAACAGACCCCAGGAGACAGGAAAAAGUUGGAAAGUUUUGUUUAGUCGGCGCAACAUCUGUGGUCAUAUGCCGGAGAGAGACAGAAGGGGAAGGAAUUACAGGAGAAGGGAACAGACCCCAGGAGACAGGAAAAUUGGAAAGUUUGGUUUAGUGGGCGCAACAUCUGUGGUCAUAUGCCGGAGAGAGACAGAAGGGGAAGGAAUUAUAGGAGAAGGGAACAGACCCCAGGAGACAGGAAAGUUGGAAAGUUUUGUUUAGUGGGCGCAACAUCUGUGGUCAUAUGCCAGAGACAGGAGGGGAAGGAAUUAUAGGAGAAGGGAACAGACCCCAGGAGACAGGAAAAAGUUGGAAAGUUUUGUUUAGUGGGCGCAACAUCUGUGGUCAUAUGCCGGAGAGAGACAGAAGGGGAAGGAAUUAUAGGAGAAGGGAACAGACCCCAGGAGACAGGAAAAAGUUGGAAAGUUUGGUGUAGUGGGCGCAACAUCUGUGGUCAUAUGCCGGAGAGAGACAGAAGGGGAAGGAAUUACAGGAGAAGGGAACAGACCCCAGGAGACAGGAAAAAGUUGGAAAGUUUGGUUUAGUGGGCGCAACAUCUGUGGUCAUAUGCCGGAGAGAGACAGAAGGGGAAGGAA